CAAAAUCCCUCAAGAGAAAGACUGACACACUUUAAACUGAACAAUAUGAGAUCGCCCCCCACUGGACAUUAAGAGAAUAUUACACUGAUCUGGAGAGGCAGAUUGCUGAGCUGUGAGAAGAUCAACUGUGGAGAUCAGGAGAGUGAAGAUUCUCAUAUGAAUCACAGUAAAAACCUCAAACUGAUGAUAAACCUCUACAAUAUACACAAUAAAACAGUCUUAAACAGUUUACAGUGUGUUCAGUUCAACACAUUUCAGCAACAACAGAAGCUGAUAAACAACACAUAUAAACAUUUUCAUGCUUCUGUCUGAUAUUCAGCAGCUCUAAACUGAACCAUGAAGAACUCCUUCUGUUUCCAUGCUGUUAUACUCAAUGUCACAUGAUCACUGCAGCCAAUAGAGUCAUUUCCAUAGAGAGAGCUGACUUUGCAUUAUCAGCACAUGCUUCAGUGCUCUGGGAGAGUUUAUAGUCCUGUGAGUUUAACACUUCAUGACUGAGAGCUGCUGCCCCACAAACUUCACCCACAGCAGACAUGACUUUGACCACCAUCUUCAUCUGGACUCUGAUCUUCUGGACUCAAGGAUCCAGAGGUCAGGCAACUGUGACUCAGACUCCUGCAGUGAAAUCUGCUCUUCCAGGAGAAACAGUCACCAUCAGCUGUAGAACCAGCCCUGCAGUUUAUAGUAACUGUCUAGCCUGGUACUUACAGAAACCUGGAGAAGCUCCUAAACUCCUGAUCUACAGUGCUACUAGUUUAUGGUCAGGAACUCCACCUCGUUUCAGAGGCAGUGGAUCUGGAUCUGACUUCACUCUGACCAUCAGUGGAGUCCAGACUGAAGAUGAUGGAGAUUAUUACUGUCUGGGUGAAUUUUACAUCAGUAGUAUCUCGUCGUCCACACAGUGAUACAGAGCCGUACAAAAAGCUGUGAGAGUCAGAGACACAGAGGCUGCACUGCUGCAGCUGAGACCUACUGCAGGUGCUGAGGGGGAGGAAGUGAUACAGCACAAUCACACACUCUGUGGAGGAGAGGAAACACACCACACUAACACACAACUCAACACACACAUCUAUAAAUAAGCACAAAGCAAUAAUGCACACAGCAUUUCAGCUCCACUUCUAUGAGAGGAGUAGUUUAGUGGAGCUGGAGCUCAUUCUAGUCCUACUGUUCAUGUGUUAGUGGUGUGCAUGGAUGUAGUGAAGUUUAUAUGUAUGUACACUUAAUUUCCAUGCCUUUAUAAAAUUGAAGUGGUGUUUUCUUACCUUUUUUAAUUUAAUAACUUUCAUGUUUACAGUUAAUCAUUUGUUUUUUGGAAUUUCCUAAAAGAUCUACUUUCACAUAUCUUGUUUUCACUGAUCACGGUUCUGUACUUUUUAAAUAUUCUCCCGUUCUGCCCUCUCCUCGUCCCCUCUCCACCGCCCAGUUCAAUUCACAAAAUAUGAAAAGUUCCAUAGAGAUUUGAAACGAAAUGUCUACAUUUUCUCAUUAUCCUUAAAAAGAACCUGCACACGAUACUCAACCCCAUCCAGGACUGACAAUCUAAUAACCUGUCAACUACCAGUUUUAGGACAGUGGGCGCUGCAGAGGACAUUCAAGUUUCUGAGGGGGCUGGAGUCAAGCCCACCAAA